GCGAGCAGGUGCGAAAGCAGGUCAUAGUGAUCCGGUGGUUCUGAAUGGAAGGGCCAUCGCUCAACGGAUAAAAGGUACUCCGGGGAUAACAGGCUGAUACCGCCCAAGAGUUCAUAUCGACGGCGGUGUUUGGCACCUCGAUGUCGGCUCAUCACAUCCUGGGGCUGAAGUAGGUCCCAAGGGUAUGGCUGUUCGCCAUUUAAAGUGGUACGCGAGCUGGGUUUAGAACGUCGUGAGACAGUUCGGUCCCUAUCUGCCGUGGGCGCUGGAGAACUGAGGGGGGCUGCUCCUAGUACGAGAGGACCGGAGUGGACGCAUCACUGGUGUUCGGGUUGUCAUGCCAAUGGCACUGCCCGGUAGCUAAAUGCGGAAGAGAUAAGUGCUGAAAGCAUCUAAGCACGAAACUUGCCCCGAGAUGAGUUCUCCCUGAGACUUAGAGUCUCCUGAAGGAACGUUGAAGACGACGACGUUGAUAGGCCGGGUGUGUAAGCGCAGCGAUGCGUUGAGCUAACCGGUACUAAUGAACCGUGAGG
rnacentral:rRNA from 1 species